AUACGGAGGGUGCAAGCGUUACUCGGAAUCACUGGGCGUAAAGGGCGCGCAGGCGGGUUGGUAAGUCAGAUGUGAAAGCCCACGGCUCAACCGUGGAAGUGCAUUUGAAACUGCCAGACUUGAGUACCAGAGGGGAAAGUGGAAUUCCCGGUGUAGAGGUGAAAUUCGUAGAUAUCGGGAGGAAUACCGGUGGCGAAGGCGACUUUCUGGCUGGAUACUGACGCUGAGGCGCGAAAGCGUGGGGAGCAAACAGGAUUAGAAACCCUAGUAGUCC
rnacentral:rRNA from 1 species